rfam:Triticum aestivum genome assembly, contig: Triticum_aestivum_CS42_TGACv1_scaffold_094518_2AL
GUUAUACUCCUUCCGUCUCAAAAUUUUUGUCUUAAAUUUGUCUAGAUACAAAUGUAUCAAGUCAUAUUUUUGUAUUAGACACGGACUUGAUACAUCCGUAUCUCGGUAUUAGAUACGGACUUGAUACAUCCGUAUCUAGACAAAUCACAUCUAUAUCUAGACAAAUUUAAGACAAGAAUUUUGGAACGGAAGGAGUAUCAA